rnacentral:tRNA from 1 species
GCCUGGGUGGCUCAGUUGGUUAAGUGUCUGCUUUCAGCUCAGGUUGUGAUCCCAGGGUGCUGGGAUCGAGUCCCACCUCAGGCU